UACGUAGGGGGCAAGCGUUGUCCGGAAUUAUUGGGCGUAAAGCGCGCGCAGGCGGUCAUUUAAGUUUGGUGUUUAAUCCCGGAGCUCAACUCCGGGUCGCACUGAAAACUGGGUGACUUGAGUACAGAAGAGGAGAGUGGAAUUCCACGUGUAGCGGUGAAAUGCGUAGAUAUGUGGAGGAACACCGAUGGCGAAGGCAGCCCCCUGGGCCGACACUGACGCUCAGGCACGAAAGCGUGGGGAGCAAACAGG
rnacentral:rRNA from 1 species